rnacentral:rRNA from 1 species
GGAAUAUUGGACAAUGGGCGAAAGCCUGAUCCAGCCAUGCCGCGUGAGUGAUGACGGCCCUAGGGUUGUAAAGCUCUUUCGCAGGUGAAGAUAAUGACGGUAACCUGAGCAGAAGCCCCGGCUAACUUCGUGCCAGCAGCCGCGGUAAUACGAAGGGGGCUAGCGUUGCUCGGAAUCACUGGGCGUAAAGCGCACGUAGGCGGCUUUCUAAGUCAGGGGUGAAAUCCUGGAGCUCAACUCCAGAACUGCCUUUGAUACUGGAGAGCUUGAGUUCGGGAGAGGUGAGUGGAACUGCGAGUGUAGAGGUGAAAUUCGUAGAUAUUCGCAAGAACACCAGUGGCGAAGGCGACUCACUGGCCCGAUACUGACGCUGAGGUGCGAAAGCGUGGGGAGCAAA